rnacentral:rRNA from 1 species
AACUAACGCUGGCGGCGUGCCUAACACAUGCAAGUCGUACGAGAAAGUUGGCUUCGGCCGAUGAGUACAGUGGCGCACGGGUGAGUAACGCGUGGAUAAUCUGCCCUUAAGUGUGGAAUAACGUACCGAAAGGUGCGCUAAUACCUGAUAAUACUGCAUAAACUACUGUUGUGUAGUCAAAGAAGGCCUCUGUUUACAAGCUUUUGCUGAAGGAUGAGUCCGCGUACCAUUAGCUGGUUGGUGGGGUAAUGGCCUACCAAGGCUACGAUGGUUAGCUGGUCUGAGAGGAUGAUCAGCCACACUGGAACUGAGACACGGUCCAGACUCCUACGGGAGGCAGCAGUGAGGAAUAUUGCGCAAUGGGGCAACCCUGACGCAGCAACGCCGCGUGAGUGAGGAAGGUUUUCGGACCGUAAAGCUCUGUCGAGCGGGAAGAAAUGUAUCAUGGACUAAUAUCCAUGAUACUUGACGGUACCGCUAAAGGAGACCG